rnacentral:rRNA from 1 species
AAGUAUAUGCAUAUUUUAUAUGUAGAAACUGCGAACGGCUCAUUAAAACAGUUAUAAUCUACUUGACAUUUUUUCUAUAAGGAUAACUACGGAAAAGCUGUAGCUAAUACUUGCUUUAGCACUCUUGAUUAAGUUCUUGAGUGUGUACUUGUUAAGCCUUUUAAGAAAAAAGUUAUUAACUUAAGGAAUUAUAACAAAGAAGCAACACGUAAAUGGAUUUUCCAUUUUUUAGUGUGUAUCAAUCGAGUUUCUGACCUAUCAGCUUUUGAUGUUAGGGUAUUGGCCUAACAUGGCUAUGACGGGUAACGGGGAAUUAGAGUUCGAUUCCGGAGAGGGAGCCUGAGAAAUAGCUACCACAUCUAAGGAAGGCAGCAGGCGCGUAAAUUACCCAAUUCUAAAGAAGAGAGGUAGUGACAAGAAAUAACAAUACAAGGCCAAUCUGGCUUUGUAAUUGGAAUGAUGGGAAUUUAAAACCUUCCCAAAACUCAAUUGGAGGGCAAGUCUGGUGCCAGCAGCCGCGGUAAUUCCAGCUCCAAUAGCGUAUAUUAAAAUUGUUGCAGUUAAAACGCUCGUAGUUGAAUUUCAAAGAAUCGAUAUUUUAAGUAGCACUUUGUAGAUUAAUCCACAUAACUGAUACUACGUAUCGACUUUGUGCGCAUUUUUCUACUUAUGUGUUCUUUUAAUUAAAAUGAUUCUUUUUAAGAUCUUUCUUUUUUGCUUCGGCAUUUUAGGAGAUCUUGUUACUUUGAGUAAAUUAGAGUGUUCAAAGCAAACAGAUUAUAGCAUCUUUAUGCGUUUGAAUACUACAGCAUGGAAUAACAAAAUUGAACAAGUCAGAAUUUUGUUCUUUUUUCUUAUUUUGGCUUAGUUACGAUUAAUAGGAGUAGCUUGGGGGCAUUUGUAUUCAGAUGUCAGAGGUGAAAUUCUUAGAUUUUCUGGAGACAAACAACUGCGAAAGCAUUUGCCUAAAAUACUUCCAUUAAUCAAGAACGAAAGUUAAGGGAGUGAAGACGAUCAGAUACCGUCGUAAUCUUAACCAUAAACUAUGCCGACUAGGCUUUGGAUGAAAGAUUUUAAAAUAAGAGUUUUUUCUCUGAGGAGUUAAAACUCUUAGAUUGCUUCCUUCAGUGCCUUAUGAGAAAUCAAAGUCUUUGGGUUCUGGGGCGAGUAUUCGCGCAAGCGAGAAAGUUAAAAGAAUUGACGGAAGGGCACCACCAGGCGUGGAGCUUGCGGCUUAAUUUGACUCAACACGGGAAAACUCACUAGUUUAAGACAAGAGUAGGAUUGACAGAUUAAUAGCUCUUUCUUGAUUUCUUGGAUGGUGAUGCAUGGCCGUUUUUAGUUCGUGAAUAUGAUUUGUCUGGUUAAUUCCGAUAACGAACGAGAUCUUAACCUGCUAAUUAGCGGCAAAUACGAUAUAUUCUUAUGUGGAAUUGAAUAUAGUUGAUUUGCUUAUUUUGAAGAAAAUAUUGGGAUACGUAAAUGUAUCCCUUUCCCUUUUCUACUUAAUUUGCUUAUCAUACUAUUUCUUUUUUGCGUAAGAAUGUAUUUGCUUGAUUGUAAAGCUUCUUAGAGGAACGAUGUGUGUCUAACACAAG